ensembl:lncRNA
GCUAAAAUUUAAAGCUAACGUUGAAGUGGAUGAAUGCACUAGUUAACCCAUUUCUUGCUGUUCUUGACCUGUUUUAUUAGCAGAGGUGGAAAGUAACAAAGUACAAAUACUUCAAGACAAAAGAGUGUGAGACAAACUUCACUCAGAGAUGAAGGGAGGUGUAGGAUGACAGAGAGGCCACGAGAGAAAGAAGAGAGGUUAGAUUAAAAGGUCAACUAAUGGCUGAAGUCAUGAGUUGAGUUUUGAUACUUAAAGUAUUAAGGUUUGACUCUGCUGAGAUUUCCCUUAUAUACUUGGACUACUUGGCAAGGUGGGGCCCAGCAAGAGACCUACAGCUAUGUAUGAGGGUGUAGGGAGCAGACAAGUGAACAGAAGGAGCCUCUCCUUCUCAAGGUGGGGCCUCUUGUAUGUCUCUAAUACACAUAACAAGACGCUACAACGAAGGACAUCAUCAACUGAUGACAAGAAUACAAUAUUGACACCUUCUUGGGACAAUCAGGC